GACGAACGCUGGCGGCGUGCUUAACAAAUGCGAGUCGAACGGAAAGGCCCUGCUUUUGUGGGGUGCUCGAGUGGCGAACGGGUGAGUAACACGUGAGUAACCUGCCCUUGACUUUGGGAUAACUUCAGGAAACUGGGGCUAAUACCGGAUAGGAGCUCCUGCUGCAUGGUGGGGGUUGGAAAGUUUCGGCGGUUGGGGAUGGACUCGCGGCUUAUCAGCUUGUUGGUGGGGUAGUGGCUUACCAAGGCUUUGACGGGUAGCCGGCCUGAGAGGGUGACCGGCCACAUUGGGACUGAGAUACGGCCCAGACUCCUACGGGAGGCAGCAGUGGGGAAUAUUGCACAAUGGGCGGAAGCCUGAUGCAGCAACGCCGCGUGCGGGAUGACGGCCUUCGGGUUGUAAACCGCUUUCGCCUGUGACGAAGCGUGAGUGACGGUAAUGGGUAAAGAAGCACCGGCUAACUACGUG
rnacentral:rRNA from 1 species